AGAGUUUGAUCCUGGCUCAGGACGAACGCUGGCGGCGUGCCUAAUACAUGCAAGUAGAACGCUGAAGAGAGGAGCUUGCUCUUCUUGGAUGAGUUGCGAACGGGUGAGUAACGCGUAGGUAACCUGCCUUGUAGCGGGGGAUAACUAUUGGAAACGAUAGCUAAUACCGCAUAACAAUGGAUGACACAUGUCAUUUAUUUGAAAGGGGCAAUUGCUCCACUACAAGAUGGACCUGCGUUGUAUUAGCUAGUAGGUGAGGUAACGGCUCACCUAGGCGACGAUACAUAGCCGACCUGAGAGGGUGAUCGGCCACACUGGGACUGAGACACGGCCCAGACUCCUACGGGAGGCAGCAGUAGGGAAUCUUCGGCAAUGGGGGCAACCCUGACCGAGCAACGCCGCGUGAGUGAAGAAGGUUUUCGGAUCGUAAAGCUCUGUUGUAAGUCAAGAACGAGUGUGAGAGUGGAAAGUUCACACUGUGACGGUAGCUUACCAGAAAGGGACGGCUAACUACGUGCCAGCAGCCGCGGUAAUACGUAGGUCCCGAGCGUUGUCCGGAUUUAUUGGGCGUAAAGCGAGCGCAGGCGGUUUGAUAAGUCUGAAGUUAAAGGCUGUGGCUCAACCAUAGUUCGCUUUGGAAACUGUCAAACUUGAGUGCAGAAGGGGAGAGUGGAAUUCCAUGUGUAGCGGUGAAAUGCGUAGAUAUAUGGAGGAACACCGGUGGCGAAAGCGGCUCUCUGGUCUGUAACUGACGCUGAGGCUCGAAAGCGUGGGGAGCGAACAGGAUUAGAUACCCUGGUAGUCCACGCCGUAAACGAUGAGUGCUAGGUGUUGGAUCCUUUCCGGGAUUCAGUGCCGCAGCUAACGCAUUAAGCACUCCGCCUGGGGAGUACGACCGCAAGGUUGAAACUCAAAGGAAUUGACGGGGGCCCGCACAAGCGGUGGAGCAUGUGGUUUAAUUCGAAGCAACGCGAAGAACCUUACCAGGUCUUGACAUCCCGAUGCUAUUUCUAGAGAUAGAAAGUUACUUCGGUACAUCGGUGACAGGUGGUGCAUGGUUGUCGUCAGCUCGUGUCGUGAGAUGUUGGGUUAAGUCCCGCAACGAGCGCAACCCCUAUUGUUAGUUGCCAUCAUUCAGUUGGGCACUCUAGCGAGACUGCCGGUAAUAAACCGGAGGAAGGUGGGGAUGACGUCAAAUCAUCAUGCCCCUUAUGACCUGGGCUACACACGUGCUACAAUGGUUGGUACAACGAGUUGCGAGUCGGUGACGGCAAGCUAAUCUCUUAAAGCCAAUCUCAGUUCGGAUUGUAGGCUGCAACUCGCCUACAUGAAGUCGGAAUCGCUAGUAAUCGCGGAUCAGCACGCCGCGGUGAAUACGUUCCCGGGCCUUGUACACACCGCCCGUCACACCACGAGAGUUUGUAACACCCGAAGUCGGUGAGGUAACCUCUUGGAGCCAGCCGCCUAAGGUGGGAUAGAUGAUUGGGGUGAAGUCGUAACAAGGUA
rnacentral:rRNA from 1 species